CUGCCAAUGUGUCUGCUUACCUGAAUGUGUGUCUGCAGAAAUUUAGAGAAAGUUGGCAAUAAUAAAGCUAUGUUAUGAGAAUUAAAAACAUUGAAGUCAUUAUGAUCCUUGAAAAUGGUUGUAAGA